CCCCAGCAGCCUUCCUUCCUUCCUUCCCCAUUCGUCUUUGCAGAACCACAGCUUCUGCACUCCUCUCUGGGGAAAGAGGGAGCCGCCUGUCCCAAAGAAAGCAGAGUUGUCCCACCCGGCCUCCUGUCUCAUUGGGGUGAAGGGUCCAGCCAAGCACAGCGAGCGACCUGGGGGUCACUGGCGGCUGAGUGGAAGCAGGAGCGGCUGGAGGAACCCAGGCAUCCUGGUGGUCCUGCUGGCGGCAGCAUCCGGCGUGUGAAGUCCCACAAUGGGGAGGAGGCAGGAGCGUCAUCGAAGCCUAGCAGGUGAGGCAAACAGGGGUGUCAGAGAAAGCCUAGGCGUUUCGCAAGGUGCUGAAAGGGAACCGCAACAGGUUUUCCUCUUUCUUUGUGGCUGCAUUCCCUGUGGCUGUGUCCAUUUGUAUAAGAGAGAGGGGGGAAGAAGGGGUGGGAGCAGGCCAAUUUGACAACAUCCCUGCCCAUGGAUCCUCAGCAACAACAACAACAAGUGGUUUCUUUUAAAAUUGUAGACCAAUGCAGAAAGAAGGAAGUUUGCAAGCAUGCAGUUGAACACACACAAAAGCAACAUACAAACAAACGUACGGUGUAUUCCCACGCAUGUUGACUCGGAAGAUAGCCCCGGUUAGUUUAAUGGAACUUACGUACUUCCAUGUAGGGGUCAGUUUUGAUUUUCUCCGUAUCUCGUUUUUCCAAUCUCAAACUCGGUUCUCCACAUUUUGAAGCAAUUUGUGAUUUUAUUAUUAAAUGCUCGUUGAAAUUGUUCUGCAAAUUAGUGGGCAUUUCUCCUAAUAAACAUGCUUUUGUGUGCAGUUUUGACUAAUUGUGCGCACUUUUCGGAAGCAAUUUCUUCUAAUGUAAUGCACUUUUGUAUAUUAUGUUCUGCGAAGAACAUAUUUCAUAUUUAUGCAAAUCUUCUCCACAAUAUUCAACUUGGUAGGGGAACUACAUCAUAAAAUUCAAUAAAGUGAGAAUUUUGAAGGAUGUCUUUAUUUUCAUUAUUGUACUGUUUUGGGACAUGCAAAUCUGAGAGACUGAUUUUCAUAUGAACUGAAUCAAAUUUCAUGACUAUUGGCAGCUGCAUAUAUAUAUAUAUAUAUAUAUAUAUAUAUAUAUAUAUAUAUUUGGCCUAGUACAGGUGUUUUUGUUUCCUUCUCCACAACACAGCCUCCAUCCUGAGUUCUUGCUUCCUGCUGACUCAAGCCCAGGGCAAGACCGAAAUACACAUCACAGUUGACCCAAAUGAGCUGAGAGAAGGACAGAGUGUCACCUUAACACCAGGAAGUGUUGAUCUGAAGCAAUACCACGGCUGCACCUGGUUUCGAGGGACACUUGAAAACAAAAAUCGAAUAUUUACCUAUGCCAGAGCUCUAUUUGAGGAUCAGCUAAAUGGACCUGCCUUCACGGGGAGGGAGACUGUCAACUCGCUUUGCUCCCUUCGCAUCACACUUUUAAGGCUAAAUGACUCGGGAAUGUAUACAUUGACAGUGGGUUUACCUGUGAUACACAAAACGGGGAAUGCAAACCUAACUGUCUCAGGUAUGAGUCUCGCUUCCUUUCCCAUCUUUAAGAGGUGAACUUGAUACUUUUAGAAGUAACCUCCUUUUAUCCCUCCAAAGUUGUGUCCUCGGUUCAGUUCCUGACUAGAUUUAUGAUUAUUAUAUCCUCCAAUGAACUUGCCCCCAGUACAUCUACCGCCCUAGAGAGGUCCAGGCACAACUGCUGAGUUCAGUAAAAAGGUAAAGGGACCCCUGACCGUUAGGUCCAGUCAUGACCAACUCUGGGGUUGUGGUGCUCAUCUCACUUUAUUGGCCGAGGGAGCCAGCGUACAGCUUUCGGGUCAUGUGGCCAGCAUGACUAAGCCACUUCUGGCGAACCAGAGCAGUGCACAGAAACACCAUUUACCUUCCCGCCGGAGUGGUACCUAUUUAUCUACUUGCACUUUGACGUGCUUUCAGACUGCUAGGUUGGCAGGAUCAGGGACUGUGCAACGGGAGCUCACCCCGUCACAGGGAUUCGAACCGCCGACCUUCUGAUCGGCAAGUCCAAGGCUCUGUGGUUUAACCCACAGUGCCACCCGCGUCCCUGCUGAGUUCAGUAAUCACAAGCAAAUAAUGAAGGUUUGGAAAAUAAGUUUUCCUUUAGGUUCCAGUUGUGAGAUGGUUCUUUUUGGCAUUUAGUUUCCCAGCACAUUGCGGUAUCUAGUCCAAAAGCUGUCUUUUCAACUUCAUAGAAUGGGCCUUUUGCUCAAAGGGGAGGUCUCUUUCCCUUCCUUUUUCUCUCCUUUACCAUAAUCUCAGUUCUCAGGUCUAGCUUCCUGUUAACUCAAUGUUGCAACUGAAAUGUUAUAGCUCAGGGGUCAGCAAACUUUUUCAGCAGGGGGCCGGUCCACUGUCCCUCAGACCUUGUGGGGGGCCAGACUAUAUUUUUUGGGUUGGGGGAAUGAACAAAUUCCUAUGUCCCACAAAUAACCCAGAGAUGCAUUUGAAAUAAAAGCACACAUUCUACUCAUGUAAAAACACAUUGAUUCCCGGACUGUCCGCUGGCCGGAUUUAGAGCACGAUUGGGCCGGAUCUAGCCCCCGGGCCUUAGUUUGCCUACCCAUGUUAUAGCUGAACAGAAGAGCCAGCAAGGCUGGAGGGAGGAGCUGCUGGGAUUCUCGACUUUCUCUUGUCUGAUGUUGACUUCCUGAUUUCUCUCCUGGAACACAUGAAAGCAUUUUGUUGUUUGCCUUGUCUAGCGCUAGGGAAAGCACAUCAUCUGCCUCAGGCGUCAGAUUUUGGUGGCUAUUGAAGAUGGCCAGGGUAUAAAUAUUAUUAUUAUUAUUAUUAUUAUUAUUAUUAUUUAUUAGCAGCAGAUUAUUGGAUUAUUAGAAAUUAUGGUAAUUAUUUUAAAUAGGAUUGGGAGCUCUGCUUGUGUUCCCAUCUUAGCCUUACCUUCUCUUACUUCCGGUCCUGCUGGAGCCCUCGCUGGGACCAUUAUCGGAUCUCUGGCUGCGAUAUUGGUGCUGAUGGGAACCCUGACUUACGUCUUCCUCCGUGAGUAACACCAGCACGGGCCCCAUGGUUCAGAUCCUCCAAGUGUCCCUAUUUUGCAGGGACACCCCUGAUUUAGAGAAGACAUCCCUGUUUCUGAUAUGAUCCCGGAAUGCCCUGCUUUUCCUUAGGUAAAGGUAAAGGGUAAAGGGACCCCUGACCGUUAGGUCCAGUCGUGACCGACUCUGGGGUUGCGGCGCUCAUCUCGCUUUAUUGGCCAAGGGAGCCGGCGUUUGUCCCCAGACAGCUUCCGGGUCAUGUGGCCAGCAUGACUAAGCCGCUUCUGGCGAACCAGAGCUGCACACGGAAACGCUGUUACCUUCCCGCUGGAGCGGUACCUAUUUAUCUACUUGCACUUUGUGCUUUUGAACUGCUAGGUUGGCAGGAGCUGGGACCGAGCAACGGGAGCUCACCCCGUCACGGGGAUUCGAACUGCCAACCUUCUGAUCGGCAAGUCCUAGGCUCUGUGGUUCAUCUAUUUUCAUCGGAGAAAUAUUGGAGGGUGUGGAGUUAUGCUACCCCCGAGCCAAGUAGAUAAGUAACUAUACAACUUUUAGAAGACACCUCAAGGCAGUCCUGUAUAGGGAUGGUGUUGUUUUUUUUAAAAGUUUAAUGGGCAGCAUAUAAAUAAUAAAUAAAUUGGAUAAAUGUUGGAGGAUGUGGACUAGUUUGUCCCUAUUUUCAUCAGAGAAAUGUUGGAGGGUAUAGAGUUAUCUGACCCCAUGAGCCAUCUGAAGGCAAUCCUGUAUAGGAAAGGGUUUUUUAUGUUUAAUGUUUUAUUAUGUUUUUUUAUAUAUGUUGGAAGCUGCCCAGAGUGGCUGGGGCAACCCAGGAAGAUGGGUGGGGUAUAAAUAGUGAAAUUACCAUUAUGGAAAUGGACGCCCCUAUUUUCAUUGGACAAAUGUUGAAGGGUAUGCAUAGUUCAGGGGUCCCUCUUCAUUGAGCUGCUAAUGGCCUCAACAGACACACAACACACUCACUCACUCACUUUCUCUCUCUCUCUCUCUCUCUCACACACACACACACACACACACACACCAACCAUUGGGGCCACACAGACAAGCUUGGCUCCCAUUCAAAAGCCACAGUGCACCCACCCACUGCUGAAACAGCUGCCUGAGAGACUAGAGGGGAGUGGCAGCACAGCUGAGUUCAGCCUAAGUAGAGACCCUUCUAAGCUCCUGGGGUCCUCAGCCAGUGCAUGAUCUGGCAACAGGCAGAAACCACUGGAACCUUCCAGGCUGUUUUGGUGCUUUUCCUGCUAUGGGGCAGGAAGCAGAUGCGGGACCCAGGUUGCUUCCACUCUGUGGAAUUAUUCUUAUUAUCAAUUAUUAAUAAUUUUUAUUAUUUUUAUUUAUUAUUUAUACACCGCCCAUCUGGCUGGGUUUUCCCAGCCACUCUGUUUUUUUUUUUAAAAAAGAAUGUUUAUUCCAAUUUUAAGAUUACAUAGAAAGAAAAAAGCAAAAAAAAAAAAAGAAAAACAAAUCACAUACACCCUACAAAAAAAAAAAAAAAACACCACACAAUACAGAAAAAAAUACAAAGGACAAAAAAUCACAAUACAAAAGUAACAAAAAAUCAAAUUAAGCCAUUAAGAUCAUUUUCCCAUUUACUUAUUUCCAAGACUUCCUCUCACUUCUCUGCUUUGUAUUCUAAUUUAAAUCGUAUCUCCAGCAAACCCUUCUAACCUUCUUUUCAUUUACUUAAUUUAACAUUCAAAAAUAUUUAAUUCUCCUCUAUUUUUUAUUUUACACUACAUAUUUCCUUAUUCCAUUAUACUCUGUCUGCCAAUACGGUCUAAUGUUCUUCUCCAACCUUUUCUAGCAUUCUUUUAUAUUACAGUAUUUCUGAAGAUAUGUUUUAAAUUUUUCCAAUCUUCUUCCAUCGACCCUUCUUCUUGGUCUCGUAUUCUGCCGGUCAUCUCAGCCAGUUCCAUAUAGUCUAUCACUUUUCUCUGCCAUUCUUCUCGGGUAGGCAAUUCUUGUGUUUUCCAGUAUUUCCCAAUGAGUAUUCUUGCCGCUGCUGUCGCAUACAUAAAGAAAUUCCUGUCUUCCCUUCGCACCAAUUGGCCGACCAUGCCCAAGAGGAAGGCCUCUGGUUUCUUCAAGAAAGUAUAUUUCAAUACCUUUUUAAUUCAUUAUAUAUCAUUUCCCAGAAGGCCUUGAUCUUUGGGCACGUCCACCAAAGGUGGAAAAAGUACCUUCAUUUUCUUUACAUUUCCAACAUUUAUUAUCAGGCAGAUGAUAAAUUUUUGCUAGCUUGACUGGGGUUAAGUACCACCUGUAUAUCAUUUUCAUUAUGUUUUCUCUUAAGGCGUUACAGGCCGUAAAUUUCAUACCUGUGGUCCAUAACCUUUCCCAGUCAGCAAACAUAAUAUUAUGCCCUACAUCUUGCGCCCAUUUAAUCAUAGCAGAUUUAACCAUUUCAUCCUGUGUAUUCCAUUUCAACAGCAGAUUAUACAUUCUUGACAAAUUUUUGGUUUUGGGUUCUAACAAUUCCGUUUCCAGUUUAGAUUUUUCCUCCUGGAAACCUAUCUUUUUAUCUAAGUUAAAAACCUCCCUUAUUUGAUAAUAAUGCAGCCAAUCUCGAACCUUAGUUUUUAAUUUGUCAAAGCUCUGCAAUUUUAGUUUAUCUCCGACUUGUUCUAAAAUUUCGCAAUAUUUUGGCCAAUUUGUCUCCAUGUUUGUUUUUUCAAAGCCUUAGCCUCCAUUGGUGACAGCCACCUUGGUGUUUUACUUUCCAACAGAUCCUUAUAUCUCACCCAAACAUUAAAUAAUGCUUUCCUGACAAUAUGAUUCUUGAAGGCCUUAUGCGCUUUAACUUUGUCAUACCAUAAAUAUGCAUGCCACCCAAACACAUUAUCGAAACCUUCUAAAUCUAAAAUGUCCACAUUUUCAAGAAGUAGCCAAUCUUUCAGCCGGGUUUCCCCAGCCACUCUGGGCGGUUCUCAACAGAAUAUUAAAAACGCGAUAAAAUAUCAAACAUUAAAAAGGCUGCCUAAGGCAGGGAGGGCGUUCCACAGGGCGGGCGCCACUACCGAGAAGGCCCUCUGCCUGUUUCCGUGUCACCUCACUUCUCACAGUGAGGGAACCGCCAGAAGGCCCUCGGCGCCGGACCUCAGUGUCCACUGCAUUUCAUUCAAACACACCUCAUGCAUUGCUUAUUCAGUCACUGGGAGUUUGUUGUUUUCAGAACUCAGAAAAUUCAACUUUUUAAAAAAACUUAGUGGAAUAGCUGGACAGUUUUGCCAGGUAUAGAGGCCUUAUUGCCCUGCUAUUCUGGCCAAUCGUGGUCCAUAGAGCAACUUCCUAAAUUAUCCUAGAAACUUCUAUGUCCUCUCCAUUAGUUUGACCCACUUCUUUCGAAUAGCAUUGCUUUAUUAUUAUUAUUAUUAUUAUUAUUAUUAUUAUAUAUCACCCUUCUUCAAAGAUCAUUGGGUGGCUUACAAUAUGCAAGACUCAUAAGAAUACGGAAAACUGAGAAAGGGAAUCAUUUUGCUGAAGAUUGCUUGAUGUUACACUGCUGUCGCAGGCCGAUCUGUAGAGUCUGCACUGGAGUAAGGUGUUCCGUGUUAAGACUUUAUUCCCGGACUCCCCCCCACCCCUCCAGGUGUCCGUCAUAGGAAGGACAAAACUUCUACCACAACCUCUGCGGCCACACCCACCCCUCAAAUAUAUGAGAAUGUUCUUCCACCAGGACAGAGAAAGCCUGAGGUAAGUGACUUGGGGUGGGUAUUUGUCAUGAGAUAAAUACUCCUCAAGCAUGUAGUUAUUUCAGAGUGCCCACUGACAUAGAAAUGCAAGCCCAUAUCCCCCCCCUCCCCAAUUUCAUCUGAAUUUACCCUUUCAGGCGGUGGGGAGGGGGAUGCGCGCAAUGAAAUUCAGACACGUGGUUUAUAUACUUAUGUAUGUGUUUGCCUUGUAAAUUUAUGAGCAUUUAAUUUGUAUAUUUGAGACCUCAAAUUCUUAUAACAGCCCCUUCCAACUCUACAAUUUUGUGACCGAUGAAUGAUCUUUGCCAUCUUUUCCUCUUUGUUGCAGAUUGAGCCUGAAAGCUCCUCUGAGGCUGCCAAUGUAUAUUUGGUGAGUGGAAAUCCCUUGCGCUUUAAAUGUCAAAUAUGUUCCAAAUAUCUGUUGUUGGCAGGAGCCCCUUGGCAGCUAUCACGCUUCAUCAAUGCAGCCGGAUAUACAUGGGCUUCCAAUUUAUUUGCAUUCCAUGCAGGGCCGUCUUACCCAUAGGCACUAGGGGUGCGGGGCAUCCGGGCGCAGUCUCUCAGGGGUGCCAGGCCGAGAGUCCGGGGCCGAGAUUUGAAGUCCGGGGAUUGGGAAGAGUCAACAGCCGCUGCUGAGCGGAGCAGAACAGAGCCCAUCAGAGUACAAAGCUCUUCUGCUGCGGGUGAGCGAGGCACUGAGGCAGCCGGCCGGCCCUGCGCUCCUGCUCGCCUGGGAUUGGUGGGCCGUUGAGAGGCCCGUCCAGCGCACGCUGCUCACACGAGGCACCUGGCUUCGCUCAGCCGCCUCAGUCUCGACUGUUGUUGCACUGGGCUCUGCUUGCCCACCCCUUCAGACGCCUGACCCCGGCCUUGCUCUGCUGCCACCGACGCCUCAGGCUACUCUGUUGUUGUUGAGGCGGCCAGCCAGGCCAGCUCUGCUGCGCGCGCCUCACUGGCCCACCCUAAAAAAGGUCAACAACUUAGGGGUUCCCCCUACAACUCUGGGCAACCUGGGGGGCCCCCGGUGGAUCUUUGUACCCCGGUGCUGCAUAUGCUUUAGACGGCCCUGAUUCCAUGCAAAGGAGACACGGUAAAAGGGCUUAUACCAGGCAUCCCCAAACUCAGCCCUCCAGAUGUUUUGGACAACUCCCAUCAUCCCUGACCACUGGUCCUGUUAGCUAGGGAUGAUGGGAGUUGUAGUCCCAAAACAUCUGGAGGGCCGAGUUUGGGGGUGACUGGCUUAUACACAUCCACCUUUGGCUCUGUGCAUCACCAUUUGCUCCAAUUCGAUGGUUAGAAGCAAGUUUUUGCAGGGAAACUGGCGAGCAAAAGAAAAACAACAACAACUUUGUUGUUUGUUGUUACUGGACCUGGUAAGCCCAGCCAGGUGAGAAUGGAUGAGCCCUACCUCAUGCAGAAUGAGGGCAAUUUGCAAAUGAAAAUGUGUUUGUGGCUUCCACCUGAGCCAUCUCCAUUUUAUCUUUAGGACUUGCAGCCCACAACCCAGUCUGUAUAUGAAGAGAUGAAGAGAUAACAGAUGGACCCCGCAACCUCCUCUCCACUGCUGAGGCCUCUCAGGGGCCCUCAAGCCUCUUUCCCUUUCAAAUUUCUUCCUUUCAGCUGCAGCCAAGUGAUUUUCGGGACCAGGACAUUUUCUCUUCAGGGCUUAAUCCUUCUGGAAAUCCUAGUCCUUGUUCUGAACACAGGAGCCAGCUUUGGUUCCUGAGGGUCUUUCGUGCUGCAUGAUGGGAACAACUUGCAGAUACUGAGACAGAAAUGUGAGGGAACCUCUCCCUGGAAAAGGCUAGACUGAAAUCCUUGAAAUCACACCUAACAUGUCUAAAGGAUUGACGCUGAGGGGGGAGAAAGGAAGUGGGCAAAUCCUCAUUAAAACCCACCAGCAUCUUUCUCCUACUGGACACAUUUUUGUACGCCGUUUUGAAGGAUAUUCUAAUUCUUGCAAGCAAUUUCUCCUAAUAUGAGGCAUGGUUUCCUGAGAUUUUCAUGGAUCAGUUCUUUUCAAUGCACAUUUUCACCUAAUAUAUGCAUUCUGGCAUGCAUAGCUUCCGGGUCAUUUUAAGGUUUGGAUAAGUGAAAAUUUAGAAGGAUGUCUGUAGUUCAGUUCUCAUCAUCCAAAAAGAGACCUCAUUCCAUACUCUCCAACAUUUCUCCAACAUUCUCUUAUAUAUGUUGGAAACUGCCCAGAGUGGCUGGGGCAACCCAAUAAGAUGUGUGCGGUAUAAAUAGUAAAAUUAUCAUUAUGGAAUGGGACAUCCCUAUUUUCGUGUCCAAGCAAACAGCAGCAUAGCAAAAGCAAUAUACAAACAGAAGUUCCCAGCAGACUGUGCUGGAAGUAAACAGGCAUGUGACACACAACAGUCAUGCCUGAUCCUAUUAAGCUGGAACGGAACUAUAUCCCAACAUCCUCCCCCUUUCCGUGUAACCUGUAGUACCUGUGGUUCAACCCAAUUGCAACCUCUGUACAUAAACGUUAAGUUGUUCUCUGUUAACAACCUUAGACAACAGAUCUGCAGGAAUUUCGUUUCCUGGCAUGUAGGACACCUGAAUGAGUCCUUUCUGAAUACACUCUCUUGCACGAUGAACUUAAUCUGCAAGUACUUGGUUCUUUGCUUUCAACUCUCUGAGUUCAGCAAAGCCAAACAGGAUCUGUUACCUUGAUACACCUGUAUAGGACAUUUCACAGAAACUCUGAUGUCCUGAAACAGUUGCAUCAACCAUUCACAAUCCAUGAGUGAAAAUGACAGGGCACUGAAUUCUGCUUCACAGGAACUUAGGCUUACUGUUGUCUGCUUUUUGCACAGCUAGUCAAACAGACAGUGGUUGUACAUGUAGCACACUCCAGAAGUGCUGGUACCAUCCGUGGUGCCACUUCCAAAACUAGCAUCUGCAAAGAUUUCAAGACCUCCGUCUGUAGUGCAUAGUGCCUUUCAAAUUGGUAGGGAGAAAGGCCAAAGGAACCCAGUCAUCCUCCAGCUGCUGGCAAACGAAUCCAGCUUUCCAGGUGAGGUGAACUGGGGUGAAAGUGAUGGGUGAGGAUGACUUGCUCUCUUCUGCAUAUCAACUACAAGCGUCACUGAUGAGAAAACUUCCAGAAAUCAAAGAGAGGGUACAACUACGGUACUUAAUGGGUUCAGAAGAUUAAACACCUGUGCAUGAAAUCUUGGUUCACUUGUAUUGGGGGGGAAGUAGUAUGGCAAUACCUUAGCACAGUAGUUCUCCGAGC
rnacentral:lncRNA from 1 species